AUUGAACGCUGGCGGCAUGCCUAACACAUGCAAGUCGAACGGUAACAGGAAGAAGCUUGCUUCUUUGCUGACGAGUGGCGGACGGGUGAGUAAUGUCUGGGAAACUGCCUGAUGGAGGGGGAUAACUACUGGAAACGGUAGCUAAUACCGCAUAACGUCGCAAGACCAAAGAGGGGGACCUUCGGGCCUCUUGCCAUCGGAUGUGCCCAGAUGGGAUUAGCUAGUAGGUGGGGUAACGGCUCACCUAGGCGACGAUCCCUAGCUGGUCUGAGAGGAUGACCAGCCACACUGGAACUGAGACACGGUCCAGACUCCUACGGGAGGCAGCAGUGGGGAAUAUUGCACAAUGGGCGCAAGCCUGAUGCAGCCAUGCCGCGUGUAUGAAGAAGGCCUUCGGGUUGUAAAGUACUUUCAGCGGGGAGGAAGGGAGUAAAGUUAAUACCUUUGCUCAUUGACGUUACCCGCAGAAGAAGCACCGGCUAACUCCGUG
rnacentral:rRNA from 1 species